GAGUGCAGAGCUUGGUGAACAUGAGGGUUGCUGAGUCGAAGGAGCUCGAAGUGGAGAGCUUCCAAGGAGGGGUAAGAGUCAGGGUCAAGAGGCGGAGAGGGCAGGUGGUGGAAAGUGAUGGAAGGGGUGGUGGCAGAAAUGCAAUUCAUGUAAGCAGCAGUGGAGGCUGCAGUGUUGUAUGGCGGGUUCACCACGAGAACAGUAACAGCCAAUCCAGGGUGGUGGUUGAGAGUGAACUUACCCAGCUCCACCAUGGAAACCAGGUGACCCAUGCCUGGAGAUGGAUACAGAACUAUAGUACGAUUACUCGCCAUCUCUCUAUCUCUAUGUGUUGGUACACCCAAUUUCCACAAUACUACGCGACUCUUUGAGCCAAUUGAGAGCCUCAAAAUUCCAAGUUCCAAAUAAAUAGAGAGUAACUUCCUUCAACUUUCCAUGGCCAAUAAAUGCAAUCAACUGACUAUGCUUUGUCAAGUCACCGUAGGCAAAAUCAAGAGAUAAUUUCAGAAACCUUGACGUUUCUGACAAUUUCACUUAGCUCUAUUAAGAUUUGAAAAAUUACACAUAUCUCUAUUGUUAUUUAAAAUGACAAUUAUUGGGAGUGUUUGGAUACCUUAAUUAUUUCAAAUAAUAUUUUACUUGCAUCACAAACACAUUUUAUAACCUACCUUUUUAUAUUCUCAAUCAUCUUUUUAUCUCACAUACAUCACAUCACAUCACAAAAAGUGCUACAAUAAUUAUUCCAAAUAAUAUUUCAAAUAAUACACUAUCCAAACAAUAUACUAUUCUUAAAUUUCCUUGUUUGAUAUGCUUAUACUUAGAAUGAAUUUAAACUUAUUUUUCAUUCUUUUUCCUUUUUAUUUUAUUUUUUUGCCAAUAAAAUUAUAAAAUUACUACUAUUAUCUCUAGUUUCUAUUGUGAUCAAAUGUCGAACUAAUGAUUUUUUUUAUGAGUUAACUUUAUAUGUAAUCCAAUUUUUUUGCUAAUCUUUGUUUUUUAUUUUUUGGUAUUAAAAUUAACAAUAAAUCAAAAAGAAAUUGUCCAAAAUCACUACUAAAUUAUGAUAAUUCCACUACUCAAAAAAUUCAUAAAUUCUGAAUCAAUUAUUUUAAUAUUUUAUUUUCUAUAUUAUAAAUAUAAAUUCAUAAUAAAAUACCAUCAAAAGUAUUCUAUCAUAGUGAUAAAAUUAUUAUUAUAAUUAUUUAUUAAAUAGUAGGUAUGGACAUGAAAAAUUCGGCACCUUUUCCUUAUAAUUACAUUAGAUAAUCUUAUAAUUCUAUAAAGAAGUAAUUUAAAACUUAUUACACAAGUGCAUUUUUGGGUAUUUAUUUAAAAAUUUGAUCAAAUCAAUAUUAUUUUAAGAUUUUGUUACUAAAACUAUUAAAUCAAUGGGGGUAUAUACAAUUUUUUAAAUUUCAAAUGAGCUCAGUGAAAUUGUCAGAAACCUCAAGAGAAGUUUCUGAAAUUAUUUCCAAAAUCAACUUGUCUUUGUUUGUGCAAAGGUCGAGUCACCAUUUCUCAUGGACAUCCAAAACCUACGACAUCCAAAACGGCGUACGUUGCUGGGAAGUGUCUUUGAGCAAAGGGAUAAUUUCAGAAACCUCACAUAAAAUUUUUGAUAAUUUUACUCAGACUCCCUUGAAGUUUUCAUAAUUAUGAAAACCUCCUUUGGUAUGAUAAAAAGAUAACAAUACCCUUCAUUAAUUAUCAAUUCAUUGAAAACCUCUAUCAAAUAUUUAAGAUUUCUCAUCUAUUAUCAACUAAUAAUUCAAACUACAGUUUUUUCUAUUUAACUAUCUAUCCACUUUCUCCUAGAUCUAUUUUCCUUUGAAACUUAUUUAUUUAUUAUUGUCAACCAAAUGUACACUGUCGCUAUUAAUAAAAUUACCAUACACACCAAACCACAAAUACUUAUUUAUUUUGGUAUCGAUUUCCAAUUCUCAAUUUUUCAUUAUUAUUAAAUAGUUUCCUUGCGCCCAUUUUUGUUUUAAAUUUUUAAUAGGCAUUAGCAAAUUGAAAUUGUCAAAUGACAAAUUGAGUGCUAAUUUGAUUAUCAAACUAGAUGAAGAUGAAGAUAGUGAUAGAGAUAAAAAUAAAUAAAACUUAAGGAUAGAAAGUUGAAUAGGAACUAAAUAUAAAUUAUACUGCUAUAGUUGCCAUGAAAAAAAGUAUUUUUGGUAUAUAUUUAUAACUGCUUUGUGUUUCUAUUUUUUAUUUACAAUUAUUGAUGUUAUUACUAUAGAGAGAAUUUGAUUGAUUUUGAACACUGUGCCAAUGGAGUAUAUUGGAUAUUGAUAUUAGUAGUAAUAGUUUAGAUUAUUUUGUAUUAAAAAGUUUGGCAGGCAUGGAAUUAAAAUUUAGGUAUAUUCAUGAAAAAUCUUGUAUAUGAAGUAAUAUCUAAUAUUGAUAUGAGAUUGUAGGUAAACUUUUGAAUAUCUGAUAUAGCGUUUAUAGUUGAUAUAAUAGUUUGUGUCAUAAAUUUUUAGAUAAAAGAAAAACAUUAGAACAAAGAUAAGUGUUUAUUUAAUAGUGAUUUGGAUGUUGAUGAGUAGAUAAUAGUGAUAGUAAGUAAAGAUAAAUAAAAUAGAGACUAUGAAUCAUUUUUUUUCCUUUACAUUUUUGUUGUGAAUUAUAACUUAAGGACAUUAUAGGAAUUUUGAGAAAAAGUACAACUUUUUAAGCCUAGAAUGUUACUGAAAUAGUGAAAAUAGGGGAGAUAAGUGUAAUUUUUAGAAUCUGAAGGGAGUUUUCUGCAAUUAUCAAAAACCUCAAGAGAGGUAUGCGAAAUUAACCCUUGAGCAAAAGUCCAGACAACUUAUAUAAUUUUUUAUAUAUUGUCGAUUUUAACUGAAUAAUAAUUAUAUAAAAUUUAAUUUUUAUUUAUAUAUCAUAAAUUUAACGGUGAUAGUGUAUAAAUUAUUAGUGUAUAUAAUAAGUUACAUGAGCAAAUAAGUCGUUAUUAUUAUUUUCUGGUGAAACCUUAAAUAUAUAGGACUCUUUUGAUUUUUGCCCUUUUCCCUAGACCCCUCUUGCCGUGUGAACGCUGGUUUAUCAAAGUUUACAGAAGCACAUACAUCAUUGUUAUUUUCUCAUGAAACCUUAAACUGCCUUUUUUUUUUUUUUUUUUGUCGACACUGGGGUGUUCGGGUCAAGACCCGAAGGCGGCCCGACUAAUCCCCAGCGGCUCGGGAGGAGAGGCCCCAUCCCCCCAAGCACGGUAACCCUGCACGACUCGAACCCCUGGCAAGCGCUCCUAAGGAGGCGUGCGCUGCCAGAUGAGCUGCCCAAGAGGGGCCUUAAACUGCCUUCAGUAGUCCAUAAGAUACAAUCUAACAAAAAUUCCGCCUGCAAAGAAAUUUGCCUGGAUCCUCCUCAGAACUCCUCAAAUCUCGUCUCAAUGGAAUCUCAGAGAGGUUUAUAUUUGAUUUAACUAAAAGUAUGUCCAACAAACACUUUUCUUAAAUAGUCUGUUGAAGGGUAAAUUUCUUGGAAUAUUGAUUAAAGAAAAAAAUGUUGGAAAAAUAUGAUCCUGUAGAGGUGGUUUUCUUGUUAUAUGCCCGUUGAAUCCACUGGAUACGACUGGCAAUUUUUUUUAUUUUUUUAAUCUAAAAUACUGAAUAUGCUGGCCGGUUAUCUAUUUUGUAGCAGGGACCAAUUUAUAAAUAAGGCUUUUUUUUCUUUUGCCUUUUGAGCGAACUGAUAUGAUCAGAAUACAUGAUAGUGCUGGAAACAACUUUUUAUUUCAUCCCCAAGCUAAGUAAAAUCUUUUCCGGUGCUGCCGUCGAGUUCUUUUGAAAAUCACAUAACAAGUCAUGUAGAUUUUAAGUAGGUUUAAUCAUAUAUUAGUAAAUACAAAUUUGAUUUAUAUUUACAUAAAGGAAAAUAGUUGUGACACAAUUUACGAGCAAGAAAGUUUUUAAUGAUUUUCAAUUUUUUUCCUACCUGGAGAAAACAAAAGUCUAAACUUGAAAUAUAAUAAGAACAGAGAAAUAUUAAAAUUAGAGAUCAUAUAGAGUAAUUAUGAUUCAACUACAUACAAAAUGGUAAUUAUCUUAUAAUAGGAAAUUUUUUAAAAAUCAUGAGAAGGGGCAAGGGACUUGAAUCCAAGACCUCUAAUUCUUAAUACUUCAACCUUUGUCAUAGACCGAGGAUUUGAUAACAGAGAUUAGGGGUGGCAAUGGGGCGGGGGACUCCUCCCCCACCUCUCGCCCCCCUGCUUCACCCACCCCGCUUUCCCCGCAGGGGUUAAAAAAUUUUGUUAUAUAAUUUCAUUAUAAUUAAAUUUUAGCAAAUAAUCAAGUACUAAAAUAUCAACACAUCACCAAAUUAUUAUUCAUUGUAAUUUCACAAUUGAAAUUCAUAAAAAUAAUUGAAUAAAAGUUAUUUGAGUACAAUCUAAUAUGAUAUAACAAAUAUAACAAAAAUAAUUAAGUUUUCACUUUUGAUACAAAUACAAUCACUAAAUUAUUAUUGUAUUUUUUUUAGAAAAAAGUGUUAUUGUAUUAAGUGUAAUUAGGAAUUCAAUAUAAAUGUAUUAAUAAAUUUAGUAUAAAUAAUUAAUAAUUUUUAUUAAUAGACAUGUAUAAUUAGUAGUAUAAUUGAUAAUAUCAAUUAUAUUACAUAUACUAAUAUACAUUAAAUGAUACAUAUAACUAAUAAUAUCAUUAUUAUAAAUUUAUAACUAAUUAAAUUAAAUAUUAUAUAUAUAAUUAUGUACAUAUAUAUAUAGAUAUCUUUAUUUUUUUUAAAUGGGUGGCGGGGCGGGGUAAUCUAAACGCAUGGAAAAAAUUUCCCCCCGUCCCCGCCCCAAUUGCCCCCUGUGGGCCCUCGGCCCCAUUGCUAUCCUUAACAGAGAUGUAACAAAAUCAACACUAAGAAGUGACCUAUACACAACGAUUUAGAGUAAAAUAUACAGUAAACUUCUAUAAAUUAAUAUCUUCUAUUAAAUAAUAAUUUUUUUGAUCUCGAGUUGGAAUAACAAGUUAAAUUAACAAUUUUGAUGAAAUAAUAAGAUAAUAUAUAUUUUUUGAAAACUUCAUCUAACUUUUUGGUACUAUUCAUAUCAUAAAUUAAUAAUUCAUCAAAAUUACAUUUCAUAUUUUAUAAAAAUAUGAGUUUAUUAUUUUUUAAAAAAUUUAAAUUUACUUAAAUCUCAUCUUUAGUUUUAUAUUCAUUAAACUUUUAAACUUCUUUUAUUAAUAAAUUAAUUCAUUUUUUUAUAAAAAGAAUAAUGAGCAAUCACUUGACGCCAACGAGUAGGAAAAAGGACUAACCAAAAUGUUUAAAAGCAUUAUGCUUAAUUAUUGAUCCCAGAAAACAAAUUUUGCAAUAGUUGAUUGUCCUAAUAAAUCUUGACUUAACCCAAAAAAAGGGAUAAAAAACAAGUAAAUUGGUGUGUUUUGUCAUAUAACCUAUGAGAUUAGAAAUAAAAGGUAUUCAAAAGGUGCAUCAUCUUCACAUGCAAGUCAGACGGUUUCGGAUACCACCAAAUCACCUGAUCAUAACUUUGUACUCAAAUUAAAAAGUUGCAUGUCCUUUUUAAUCAAGAAAAUAUAUUAAAAAAAAAGCAAAAUCAGGACUCUUUAUAAUCUUCACAACAAAUUACAGCAAUGGAGGAGUGGCAGCAAAGACGAUGAAAUUCGGGUGGUGGUGGACGAGCCUGUUGGUAGCGGCAGUGGUUGUUUGGUGGAGGAGCUACGGUGGGCUAGGAAACGACAGCAGAUAUUCGCGUUUGGGAAACUUCUGGUUGGGGUAGAUACUUCUUUGUUUGGAUUGCAUUUUUUUAAAUUUUUUAUUGCAAAAUUAUUGUAACGAUUUGAUAUAUGUAAAGUAAAAAAGUGAUUGAAGAUAUUUGUUUGGAUUGACCUUUAUUUCCCCAAAUAUAUUUGCUUACAUUAUCAUUACAAUUUCCAAUACAUCUUUUUACCUUCCCAAUUACCUUUUCAUCUCACAUACAUCACAUCGCAAAAAAUGCUACAAUAAAAAUAUCUCAAAUAACUUACAAUCCAAACAAACCCAGGAGUGUAGCAAUUUUUUAAAAUUUUUUUAAUCCAAUCAAAGCCGCCCUACAUAUAGAAAGUAGUUGUUUCGCAUGUGCUCUUUUUGCUUGAUCAGUGAAGAAAAUAUAGAAAGUAGUAAAAGAUUAAGCUCUUAUGUCUUAGACAUUUUAUUUUGGAUGAGAAAUGAAAGUCUCCUCAGUGCCGUUGAACGCUAGAUGUACAGCUUUUUUAACCUUUGCUCGCACAUAUAAAUUUCUUUUAUAAUGAAUGAAAUUAUCCUUUUGACAAAAAUAAAUAAAUAAAUCAAUCAAAGCCGCUCCACUUGUUUCCUUGUUUUGUAGGUCAAGGUCCGGUCUGAUUGAAAAAGUCAACUGGUGGACCCGGAAACUUUUGACCGCCUACUUUGUUAGAAACCCGGACCCCUUUCGAAAGGGCAAACGUCUUUUCAACAUUAAUACGUCCAAAAUUGAAAAUACAUAGCACUACAUAGACUCCGCACCAGCCACAAAAAUCUGAUCCCCAACACCAUGAUUCCCCUUUCCGCUGUUCCACUUGAAUUUGCACGCUAACAUACCACCAUCACAUGCGUACAACAAAGACGAAGAAUUAUCGGUCCUCAAGUCUACUUGGGAUUCUCUAUGUAAUUACUUGGUGUCAAAUUCAGUGUCAAUCUCACUUAUCAUGAUAAAAGAAAUUUAAAUAAAUAAUACAUGAUAAAUUAAAUAAACGGGACAUUUGAUAUAAACAUAAAAGUAACACUGAAUUAUCACUGAAAAAGUGAUAUUAAGGAUCUCGUGUUCCCCAAGUCAACAUACCGGGACAUCAGUCAAGUGAUAUUAUUAUAAGAUUAAUUCAUGGUUCAAUUUUCAAACCCUUUUCUUUCUUCCUUCCCUCUUCAACUCUGCAAAACAUAAAAAUCUCCUGCUAGGAAAAAAAAUACAUAAAUAAAUAGUGAAUCUGACCUGAAGACCCGACCCGGUUUGGGAUUAUUGAGUUGGCAAAGAGAGAAAAUUUUAAAUUUAUGAUGAUGCAUGCCUGGGAGACUUGGUGGCAACUACUCCUAGCUAGGAGCAGGAAGGGUCAGCCGCAAGGGCGGGUCUAGGACCAAUCCAAAUCCGAGACAUGAGUGAGUGCAACACUUGUUCCCAUGAUGACGCUGCUCUCAAACACUCACUGCAACAUUGCACCGAGUUAUCUACAGAACUCAUUUGGGAAAACAUCCAAAGAAUUAUUAAUUGGGUUGCGACUUAACGUUUUCGAGGAUUCAGAGGAAAGCCUCAAAACCUAAACUCAGAUUCUACUAUUUCGGAUUAAAAACUCUCUGUUGAAAAAACUCUCCUCAUAAACUAAACAAUAGCAUACUGUCAUAUGUUAUACUCAAAAUAUAUUUGUUGACAUUCAAAUAACAAUAAAUCCUUCCAGUAACAAAUUAAACGCACAAAAUAUAUCCAUCCAUAGGGUUUAUUAGUUUAUUAUUGCAGUGAGACUGGUGCAAGAAAAUGCGGCUAAUUCCCAGCUUACUCCAGCUUCCUCCAGGAUUCUACCAAUUUGGCCAAUGCCACAAUGGAUGAGCCCCCAUCAGCCAUUGCUUGCUUUGCUUCCUCCUUCUUUGCCUGGGCUGUUUCCCUGAUCACCUUUCCUUCCUCCGAAUCCAUCAACCCCCUAACUCGCUUCUCGAUUUCAGCCGCUUUCACGAACCCACCUUCCGUACUUUCAUCCAUUGGUAAGGCCAACUUCAUCUCCUCAACUAAGAACAGCCUAUUCAGCUUCUGCUCAGCAUAAAGUGGCCACCCCACCAUAGGCACACCCGCACAGACUGCUUCCAACACUGAGUUCCACCCACAGUGGGUCACAAACCCACCCACCGACCCAUGAUUCAACACAUCCACCUGCGGUGCCCAAGAACUCACCACGAAACCCCUACCCUUUGACCGGUCCAAAAACCGGUGGGGAAGCAACAAAUCCAGAUCUGGGGCGGGUGGAGUUUGAAAGCGGUUGGUUUUGUCCUCAGAAGGCGGACUGCGCACCACCCACAGGAACUUUUGCUCGCUCCUCUCCAACCCGAUGGCUAUCUCUUUCAGUUGCUCAGCUGGAAAUCGACCCACGCUCCCAAAGCACAAGAAUACAACGCUUCGACUUGGUUGCAUAUCCAGCCAUUUCAAACAUUCAUGCACACCUCCUCCCGUUCCACCUGCUGCACCUCCACCUUUCCCGUUGUCUGAUGCAAUCAGAGGUCCUAAGCUGAAAACAGGCGGAGUGGGGCCAUCCGGAACAUACUUUCCAUCAGCGAUUGAUUUCAAGAUGCUAGGUUCGAGCGAUUCGAACGUGUUGACUAGGAUCCCGGACGAUUUUGCCAAUUGCGUCGCAACAUCUAAGAAAAAUGCAUACUCAGGAGACGUUCUUUCCAGCAAAGGGACUAACAUGUCUCGUGGUGGUAUCGGCAGUAAAUCAGGAACAUGUAAAAGUUCGUCCAGGUCUUUAAAGCUUUUGUUUGUUGACUGGUGGAGCGUGGGUAAGUAAAGGAGGAGAGCGAGACAAUUAGCGCCGGAAGUGAAGAAGUAAUAAGUCGGGAUUCCAAGGUUGGUAGCAACAGAGAGGGCACAGGUGCAAAAGAAGUCGAUGAUGAAUGCAGAGAUUCCAGCUGUCAAGGAGAUGGAGUGCAGAGCUUGGUGAACAUGAGGGUUGCUGAGUCGAAGGAGCUCGAAGUGGAGAGCUUCCAAGGAGGGG
rnacentral:lncRNA from 1 species